rnacentral:rRNA from 1 species
AACGUAGGACACAAGCGUUAUCCGGAGUUACUGGGCGUAAAGGGCGUGUAGGCGGGUAUGUAAGUCUACUCUGAAAGCUCCUGGCUAAACUGGGAGAGGCGAAUGGAGACUGCAUAUCUAGAGUGAGGAAGAGGAAAGUGGAAUUCCGCGUGUAGUGGUGAAAUGCGUAGAGAUGCGGAGGAACACCAGUGGCGAAAGCGACUUUCUGGUCCUUAACGUGACGCCUGAGGCGCGAAAGCAUGGGGAGCGAACGGGGAUUAGAAACCCGUUGUAACGUCCGAGACCAACGAU